UCUGUUUAUUUCCACUACCGCUUACGCGCUAGAGCCAUCUAUUGGAAAAUGGCAGAAGCAAAGUUGUACACCCAAUAAUAAUGUUAAAACUAAUAACAAAUAAGCUAUUGACUAUACUUAUUCAUUACAGACUACACAUGCCUAUGCUUUUGGGGGAAAUUAUCAUGAUGACCAUCAUUAACCCAUUUUUUGCUACUUCGAACUAUAGUUCGAUAAGGUCAAGCUUGUUUACUCUUCCACUUCGAACUUUAGUUCUUUCAAGUUGGAAUGUUCUUUUUUCUUUGAUAUUUUUCAUUGUUUAUGGAUAAUUCCAAUCUUAUUACUGCA
rnacentral:lncRNA from 1 species